UACGUAGGGUGCAAGCGUUGUCCGGAAUUAUUGGGCGUAAAGAGCUCGUAGGCGGUCUGUCACGUCGGCUGUGAAAACCUGGGGCUCAACCCCGGGCCUGCAGCCGAUACGGGCAGACUAGAAUUCGGUAGGGGAGACUGGAAUUCCUGGUGUAGCGGUGAAAUGCGCAGAUAUCAGGAGGAACACCGGUGGCGAAGGCGGGUCUCUGGGCCGAUAUUGACGCUGAGGAGCGAAAGCGUGGGAGCGAACGG
rnacentral:rRNA from 1 species